AAGCCUGCGCUUCCAAUAGGUUUACUACCACCUGCAGAUUUUGAUGCCAGAUGUAACGAAGAUGAAACGUGGCUCACAAUCAGAGAGUGGCUAUACAAGCAAAACAAAGGUUCUGUGGUUUACAUAGCAUUUGGAAGCGAGGUGGAACUGAGUCAACCUGUAAUAAACGAGUUGGCACUCGGAUUAGAGUUAUCAGGGUUGCCAUUCUUUUGGGUUCUAAGGAAACGGGAUAACUCGGUUGAGUUACCCGAUGGAUUCAAAGAACGAGUCGAGGGACGUGGCAUGGUGUGGACGAGUUGGGUACCUCAACUCAGAAUCUUGGGUCAUGAAUCAGUAGGAGGAUUUGUGACUCACUGUGGUUAUAGUUCAGUUAUAGAGGCACU
rnacentral:misc_RNA from 1 species